CAUGCAAGUCGGACGGCAGCAUAAAAGAGCUUGCUCUUUUGAUGGCGAGUGGCGAACGGGUGAGUAAUGCAUCGGAACGUACCGAGUAGUGGGGGAUAACUGUCCGAAAGGAUGGCUAAUACCGCAUAUUCUCUGAGGAGGAAAGCAGGGGACCUUAGGGCCUUGCGCUAUUUGAGCGGCCGAUGUCUGAUUAGCUAGUUGGUGGGGUAAGAGCCCACCAAGGCGACGAUCAGUAGCGGGUCUGAGAGGAUGAUCCGCCACACUGGGACUGAGACACGGCCCAGACUCCUACGGGAGGCAGCAGUGGGGAAUUUUGGACAAUGGGCGCAAGCCUGAUCCAGCCAUGCCGCGUGUAUGAAGAAGGCCUUCGGGUUGUAAAGUACUUUUGUCAGGGAAGAAAAGCCUGAGGAUAACACCCUCAGGUCAUGACGGUACCUGAAGAAUAAGCACCGGCUAACUACGUGCCAGCAGCCGCGGUAAUACGUAGGGUGCGAGCGUUAAUCGGAAUUACUGGGCGUAAAGCGAGCGCAGACGGUUAUUUAAGCAAGAUGUGAAAGCCCCGGGCUCAACCUGGGAACUGCGUUUUGAACUGGGUAACUAGAGUGUGUCAGAGGGGGGUAGAAUUCCACGUGUAGCAGUGAAAUGCGUAGAGAUGUGGAGGAAUACCGAUGGCGAAGGCAGCCCCCUGGGAUAACACUGACGUUCAUGCUCGAAAGCGUGGGUAGCAAACAGGAUUAGAUACCCUGGUAGUCCACGCCCUAAACGAUGUCAAUUAGCUGUUGGGGUACAUGAUGCCUUAGUAGCGUAGCUAACGCGUGAAAUUGACCGCCUGGGGAGUACGGUCGCAAGAUUAAAACUCAAAGGAAUUGACGGGGACCCGCACAAGCGGUGGAUGAUGUGGAUUAAUUCGAUGCAACGCGAAGAACCUUACCUGGUCUUGACAUGUACGGAAUCUCUUA
rnacentral:rRNA from 1 species